GCUGCUUUGAUCUUGUGUGUACAUUAGAUGACUGCCAGGGGCAUGAAGGGGAUGUGCUUCCAGGGCAUUUGCUGGCAGGGCGUCUCGUGAUCUCUUGGUAUUGGUGUGAGCACAGCCUGGCAGGAGAGGGCAGAUCUCCAUGCAAAGUAUGUCAGAAAGCAGAUGGAAGCCAGGCCCCCUCCUGAAAGAGGCUCCUUGAAGAUAAUUCUAACAUCUUUGUCAUCAGUGUUGACAUCUCUUGAUUGUAUCCUGUCAUUCCAUUUGAGAUCUUCCUGGUUCUGGCUGGCAUCCUCUGACAUCACUCCAGCAGAAGAAAGGGAAGGAACACGCUGCAUUACUGCGUGGUCACAAGGUCCCCGUCUGAUCUGCCUUCACUCCACCUUUCAGAGUCUUAUGUUUGUUUUGUGUAUAUUAUCAAGGGGUUUUAGGUCACUUAGUCGGAAGAAUAGGGAAAAGUAUGUCUACUCCAGCUUAAUGGAAGUGGAAUUCUCCUGAGAACCUUUUUUUGAUACAAAAUAUGUACUUGUGCAUAUUUUGUAUCAAAAUAUAUAAUGUACAUGUCCCUUUUGUACAUGUAUAUAAAUUGUAUAUAAAUAUUUAGGGUUAUAAAAAUAACCAAAGACACCAAAAA
rnacentral:lncRNA from 1 species